UACAGAGGGUGCAAGCGUUGUUCGGAAUUACUGGGCGUAAAGAGCGUGUAGGCGGCCAGAUAGGUCAGCUGUGAAAACUCGAGGCUCAACCUCGAGACGUCGGUUGAAACCAUCUGGCUAGAGUCCGGAAGAGGAGAGUGGAAUUCCCGGUGUAGCGGUGAAAUGCGCAGAUAUCGGGAAGAACCCCCGUGGCGAAGGCGGCUUUCUGGACGGUACUGACGCUGAGACGCGAAAGCGUGGGGAGCGAACAGG
rnacentral:rRNA from 1 species